AAAUACUAUCAAUCUUAAUUAUAGUACAUAUUAAAGUACACAAGCUAGAGAAAAAAAAAUUUGGACCAAAGUAAAUAUUCAACUAAAAUGCAAAAUUCAAUCCUGCUCUAUUAUCUAUGAAUUGAUAUGCAAAACAAUUUACAUUUAUAUAUUGAUGUGCGAAAUAAAAUGAUAACUAAAAUUGAUAUGAAAAUUACAAAUGAUAUUAAUAUUUAAGCAUAUAAUGAGAUCAACUAAACUUUCAUAUUUGACACAAAUUAGAGUAAA
rnacentral:lncRNA from 1 species